rnacentral:rRNA from 1 species
CCCCUAGAUGUUCUGGGCCGCACGCGCGCUACACUGAACAGUUCAACAAGUCUUAACCUUGGCCGAUAGGUCUGGGUAAUCUUUGAACGCUGUUCGUGAUUGGGAUAGACCUUUGCAAUUAUGGGUCUUCAACGAGGAAUUCCUAGUAAACGCAAGUCAUCAGCUUGCAUUGAUUACGUCCCUGCCCUUUGUACACACCGCCCGUCGCACCUACCGAUUGAAUGGUCCGGUGAAAUCUCGGGACGGCGGCUUGGUCGCUUGCGUCCGACUGCUGAAACUUGAUUAAACCAUAUCAUUUAGAGGAAGGAGAAGUCGUAACA